rnacentral:rRNA from 1 species
AUUGAACGCUGGCGGCACGCCUAACACAUGCAAGUCGAGCGGUAACAGGAUGUGUAGCAAUACACAUUGCUGACGAGCGGCGGACGGGUGAGGAACACGUAGGAACCUACCCUCAAGCGGGGGAUAACUAAUGGAAACGUUAGCUAAUACCGCAUAAUCACGGAAGAGAAAAGCUACCCGCAAGGGCGGCACUUGAGGAGGGGCCGGCGUCCGAUUAGCUAGUUGGUGGGGUAAUGGCUCACCAAGGCAAUGAUCGGUAACUGGUCUGAGAGGACGACCAGUCACACUGGGACUGAGACACGGCCCAGACUCCUACGGGAGGCAGCAGUGGGGAAUAUUGGACAAUGGGGGCAACCCUGAUCCAGCGAUGCCGCGUGAGUGAAGAAGGCCUUCGGGUCGUAAAGCUCUUUAGGUUGGGAAGAAGUGUAUUAGGUUCAUAGCCUAGUAUGUUGACGGUACCGACAGAAUAAGCACCGGCAAACUCUGUGCCAGCCGCCGCGGUAAUAC